rnacentral:rRNA from 1 species
GACGAACGUUGGCGGUGCGCUUAAUGCAUGCAAGUCGAACGAGAACUGGUUCAUUCGUAAGAAUGUUCCAGGGACAGUGGCGAACGGGUGCGUAACACGUGAGAAACCUGCCCUGGAGAUCGGGAUAGCCCGAGGAAACUCGGAUUAAUACCGAAUGCCUUCACCGAGUCGCAUGGCUCUAUGAAGAAAUGGUCCGCCGCUCCAGGAUGGUCUCGCGGCCUAUCAGCUUGUUGGUGAGGUAACGGCUCACCAAGGCAACGACGGGUAGCUGGUCUGAGAGGACGAUCAGCCACACUGGGACUGAGACACGGCCCAGACUCCUACGGGAGGCAGCAGCAGGGAAUAUUGCACAAUGGGCGAAAGCCUGAUGCAGCGACACCGCGUGCGGGAUGAAGGCCUUCGGGUUGUAAACCGCUUUCAGGAGGGACGAAAAUGACGGUACCUCCAGAAGAAGGCCCGGCCAACUAUGUG